GCAAUUCGAACGGGGACUUCCGGAUUAGUGGCGGACGGGUGAUCAGCGUGAAACUGCCUCAGGUUGGGGAAACCACCGGAUCGGUGGCUAAACCGAAAAGCCUAACGGUGAAAGAUUAUUGCCUGAAGAUGAGCUCGCGUCUGAUUAGCUAGUUGGUGGGGUAAGAGCCUACCAAGGCGUCGAUCAGUAACUGGUCUGAGAGGAUGACCAGUCACACUGGGACUGAGACACGGCCCAGACUCCUACGGGAGGCAGCAGUGGGGAAUUUUCCGCAAUGGGCGAAAGCCUGACGGAGCAAUACCGCGUGAGGGAGGAGGGCUCUUGGGUUGUAAACCUCUUUUCUCAGGGAAGAACACAAUGACGGUACCUGAGGAAUCAGCAUCGGCUAACUCCGUGCCAGCAGCCGCGGUAAUACGGAGGAUGCAAGCGUUAUCCGGAAUGAUUGGGCGUAAAGCGUCCGCAGGUGGCAGUUCAAGUCUGCUGUCAAAGACCGGGGCUCAACCCUGGAAAGGCAGUGGAAACUGAACAGCUAGAGUGCGGUGGGGGCAGAGGGAAUUCCUGGUGUAGCGGUGAAAUGCGUAGAUAUCAGGAAGAACACCGGUGGCGAAAGCGCUCUGCUAGGCCGCAACUGACACUCAUGGACGAAAGCUAGGGGAGCGAAUGGGAUUAGAUACCCCAGUAGUCCUAGCCGUAAACGAUGGAUACUAGGCGUAGCUUGUAUCGACCCAAGCUGUGCCGUAGCU
rnacentral:rRNA from 1 species